AAAGUCAGGGUUUCACCAUGUUGGCCAAGCUGGUCUUGAACUCUUGACAUCAAGUGAUCUUCCUGCCUCAGCCUCCCAAAGUGCUAGGAUUACAGGUGUGAGCCACCACACCUGGCCUUAAAUGUCUGCUUUCAUUAUGAUCUACCAUUAAGUUUUCUGUAAAAAGCUCCAUCCUGGUAGUAACCAUAACCUCUCUUCACUCCUAUUCUAGAGGCGAGAAUUCUGAUGACAGACAGAAGAAUGAAGUGCUGGGAGUCCAUUUCCCUUUUACAGAUGGGCUGAACACAGAUGGGAAUCGUCCCGGAUGAUGGAUGAGGAGGAGAUGGUGCUGAGAGGCGCUCGGGGACCCGUCAAGGGGUCUCUCCCAGCUUCGUCUGUGAGUCACAGAUCAUCCUGACAAAUCCUGCCGCAGAGCGGAGGAGAAGUGAGACGGGAGAGAUGGAGGAUUUAUUGUUUCAGAGCCUUCCUCCAUUGCAGGGAUUUUUUUACUCCAGAGAAGCAUUAACAGAGAGUACUCCUAAUCUGGGUUUUACUUUCUCAGCCAAAGCACUUCUUCACAGCUCGAGCAAAUGCAGGCCAUGCCUACAUUCGCUCAUUCAUUCCCUCACAUACUGUGGGCGCAGAGACAGAGGCAAGAGUCGUCGUCAUCACGAGCUCAGAGGGAGGAUUGCAGACGCUGCUGAAUGCUGUUCGCUUUAAUAAAAAGAUGAAAGAGAGCACCCACUGUGACUGACACAGGCCAGCGUCAGGACAUAACGAGGAAAUGUCAUGCCGGACUGACAUGCCAGACUUUCACUUCAGCUGUGCAGCGCAGUUCCUCCCCUCAGGACAGAGUCUCUAGAGCACCCAUGGGGCAGCUCUGCCACCGAAGACUCACCUUACAGACACAGUCUCCCCUUGGGCACAAAGAAUGAAACCAAGGACUUGCCCAUUGCUCUCCCUUCAGAAUCUAUCCAAGCCUCCAGCCCCAGAGCCUGCCUAACAAUGGCAGAUUCGGAUGGGGGUGAGGAGGAGGAGGGCGUGGGAGGAGAGAAAGAAGAACGGCAGGGGUAAUUAUGGGGAAGCAGGUGGUCGGGGCAGAGCGAGGACAUAAGGCCAGUGCUGUGACACCCAGGGAUGGUGGGAGCCAUGGGAGGCCCAGGCCCCUUCUGUCCUGGCCUGGAUGCCGCCUCCCUCACCGCCUGGCUGGCUUGAGGAAUCAGAAAGAGCAUCAGCUACGGGUCUGUACACGAGCAGAUGAGCCCUGCUGCCGGGCUAGCCUCACGCUGUGAAAUAGCAGAGAGGCCUGGCCCCAGUACAAUCCGGGAAGGGGAGGGGGCACAGCCUCGUCUGUUUGGCCCCUCGUUCUCUGCCUCUCUGUCCUGGAAUGGCACAUCCACGAGGGCAGGGGCUUCGUGCCUCUUGUUGUCUUCGUGCCUCUCUGCUGUCUCCCAGAACCAACCAC
rnacentral:lncRNA from 1 species